rnacentral:lncRNA from 1 species
UUGGAUCUUGGGUCUAGGUUACCAUAAAAACAUGUGCUAUAGCUCACUUGUGGCAAAAAAUGUCGUAACGGCCUCUCCGAUCUAAAAUGUAGGUGGCAGGUCGGAUGAGGCCAUAAUCAGCCUUAGCAGUCUCAGUGACCAAAUCAUGGGUGGUGGACGGGAGGCAUGAAAUCGUCGUUUGACGAUGAAAACAUGUGUCACGGGAGGCCAAAAAUAGCCUUACCGGCCUCCGGGGACCAAAACGUGUGCUAUGGUUUGGACACUAAAAUUCUACUAUGUCAGCAAAGUUGAUAAGGUUGGGAGACUCAAAUUUCAUUUUACCAUGGUUUCAACACUAAAAUCCUUUAGUGUUGAUGUUUAGGUUUAGGGAUAGGAUUUAGGGUCUAGGUUUCCAUAAAAUCGUGUGCUAUAGCUCACGGGUGGCAAAAAAAUGCCAUAACGGCCUCCCCGGUCCAAAACGAAGGUGGCAGGUCGGAUACAUAAAAUUGGCUGUUUGGCCACGGAAAUGUGUGAUAUAGCUCGCGGGAGGCCAAGAACCGCUUUAAGGUGCUCCGGGGAGAAAAACACGUGUGGAGGAACACGGGCAUAAAAAUGGUCGCUCGGCCAUGAAAACGUGUGCUAUAGCUCACGGGAGGCCAAAACAACCUUACCAGUCUCUAUGGUCAAAUAAUGGGUGGCAGUCGGGAGGCACGAAAUCGCUGUUCGACGACAAAGACAUGUGUCACGGGAGGCCAAAAUAGCCUUACGGGCCGCCGGGGACUAAAACGUGUACUAUGGUUCGGACACUAAAAUUCUACCAUGCCUGCAAGCUUACUAUGGUUUGGAGACUCAAACUUCAUUUAACUAUGGUUUGGACACUAAAACCUUUUAGUGUCGGUGUUUAAGGUUAGGGUUUAGGGAUUGGAUCUUGGGUCUAGGUUACCAUAAAAACAUGUGCUAUAGCUCACUUGUGGCAAAAAAUGUCGUAACGGCCUCUCCGAUCUAAAAUGUAGGUGGCAGGUCGGAUGAGGCCAUAAUCAGCCUUAGCAGUCUCAGUGGCCAAAUCAUGGGUGGCGGACGGGAGGCAAGAAAUCGUCGUUUGACGAUGAAAACAUGUGUCACGGGAGGCCAAAAAUAGCCUUACCGGCCUCUGGGGACCAAAACGUGUACUAUGGUUUGGACACUAAAAUUCUACUAUGUCAGCAAAGUUGAUAAGGUUGGGAGACUCAAAUUUCAUUUUACCAUGGUUUCAACACUAAAAUCCUUUAGUGUUGAUGUUUAGGUUUAGGGAUAGGAUUUAGGGUCUAGGUUUCCAUAAAAUCGUGUGCUAUAGCUCACGGGUGGCAAAAAAAUGCCAUAACGGCCUCCCCGGUCUAAAACGAAGGUGGCAGGUCGGAUACAUAAAAUUGGCUGUUUGGCCACGGAAAUGUGUGAUAUAGCUCGCGGGAGACCAAGAACCGCUUUAAGGUGCUCCGGGGAGAAAAACACGUGUGGAGGAACACGGGCAUAAAAAUGGUCGCUCGGCCAUGAAAACGUGUGCUAUAGCUCACGGGAGGCCAAAACAACCUUACCAGUCUCUAUGGUCAAAUAAUGGGUGGCGGUCGGGAGGCACGAAAUCGCUGUUCGAUGACAAAAACAUGUGUCACGGGAGGCCAAAAUAGCCUUACGGGCCGCCGGGAACUAAAACGUGUACUAUGGUUCGGACACUAAAAUUCUACCAUGCCUGCAAGCUUACUAUGGUUUGGAGACUCAAACUUCAUUUUACUAUGGUUUGGACACUAAAACCUUUUAGUGUCGGUGUUUAAGGUUAGGGUUUAGGGAUUGGAUCUUGGGUCUAGGUUACAAUAAAAACAUGUGCUAUAGCUCACUUGUGGCAAAAAAUGUCGUAACGGCCUCUCCGAUCUAAAAUGUAGGUGGCAGGUCGGAUGAGGCCAUAAUCAGCCUUAGCAGUCUCAGUGGCCAAAUCAUGGGUGGUGGACGGGAGGCAUGAAAUCGUCGUUUGACGAUGAAAACAUGUGUCACGGGAGGCCAAAAAUAGCCUUACCGGCCUCCGGGGACCAAAACGUGUGCUAUGGUUUGGACACUAAAAUUCUACUAUGUCAGCAAAGUUGAUAAGGUUGGGAGACUCAAAUUUCAUUUUACCAUGGUUUCAACACUAAAAUCCUUUAGUGUCGAUGUUUAGGUUUAGGGAUAGGAUUUAGGGUCUAGGUUUCCAUAAAAUCGUGUGCUAUAGCUCACGGGUGGCAAAAAAAUGCCAUAACGGCCUCCCCGGUCUAAAACGAAGGAGGCAGGUCGGAUACAUAAAAUUGGCUGUUUGGCCACGGAAAUGUUUGAUCUAGCUCGCGGGAGGCCAAGAACCGCUUUAAGGUGCUCCGAGGACAAAAACACGUGUGGAGGAACGCGGACAUAAAAAUGGUCGCUCGGCCAUGAAAACGUGUGCUAUAGCUCACGGGAGGCCAAAACAGCCUUACCAGUCUCUAUGGUCAAAUCAUGGGUGGCGGUCGGGAGGCACGAAAUCGCUGUUCGACGACAAAAACUUGUGUCACGGGAGGCCAAAAUAGCCUUACGAGCUGUCGGGGACUAAAACGUGUACUAUGGUUUGGACACUAAAAUUCUACCAUUCCUGCAUGCUUACUAUGGUUUGGAGACUCAAACUUCAUUUUACUAUGGUUUGGACACUAAAACCUUUUAGUGUCGGUGUUUAAGGUUAGGGUUUAGGGAUUGGAUUUGGGGUCUAGGUUACCAUAAAAACAUGUGCUAUAGCUCACUUGUGGCAAAAAAUGUCGUAACGGCCUCUCCGGUCUAAAACGUAGGUGGUAGGUCGGAUACAUGAAAUUGGCUCUUUGGCCACGAAAACGUGUGCUACAGCUCGUGGGAGGCCAAGGACCACUUUAAGGUGCUCUGGGAACCAAAAAACGGGUGGUGGAACACGUACUUAAAAAUGGUCGCUCGACCAUGAAAACGUGUGCCAUAACCUACGAGAGGCCAUAAACAGCCUUAGCAGUCUCAGUGGCCAAAUCAUGGGUGGCGGACGGGAGGCAUGAAAUCGUCGUUUGACGAUGAAAACAUGUGUCACGGGAGGCCAAAAAUAGCCUUACCGGCCUCCGGGGACCAAAACGUGUACUAUGGUUUGGACACUAAAAUCGUACUAUGUCAGCAAAGUUGAUAAGGUUGGGAGACUCAAAUUUCAUUUUACCAUGGUUUCAACACUAAAAUCCUUUAGUGUCGAUGUUUAGGUUUAGGGAUAGGAUUUAGGGUCUAGGUUUCCAUAAAAUCGUGUGCUAUAGCUCACGGGUGGCAAAAAAAUGCCAUAACGGCCCCGGUCUAAAACGAAGGUGGCAGGUCGGAUACAUAAAAUUGGCUGUUUGGCCACGGAAAUGUGUGAUAUAGCUCGCGGGAGGCCAAGAACCGCUUUAAGGUGCUCCGGGGAGAAAAACACGUGUGGAGGAACACGGGCAUAAAAAUGGUCGCUCGGCCAUGAAAACGUGUGCUAUAGCUCACGGGAGGCCAAAACAACCUUACCAGUCUCUAUGGUCAAAUAAUGGGUGGCGGUCGGGAGGCACGAAAUCGCUGUUCGACGACAAAAACAUGUGUCACGGGAGGCCAAAAUAGCCUUACGGGCCGCCGGGGACUAAAACGUGUACUAUGGUUCGGACACUAAAAUUCUACCAUGCCUGCAAGCUUACUAUGGUUUGGAGACUCAAACUUCAUUUUACUAUGGUUUGGACACUAAAACCUUUUAGUGUCGGUGUUUAAGGUUAGGGUUUAGGGAUUGGAUCUUGGGUCUAGGUUACCAUAAAAACAUGUGCUAUAGCUCACUUGUGGCAAAAAAUGUCGUAACGGCCUCUCCGAUCUAAAACGUAGGUGGCAGGUCGGAUACAUGAAAUUGGCUCUUUGGCCACGGAAACGUGUGCUACAGCUCGUGGGAGGCCAAGGACCACUUUAAGGUGCUCUGGGGACCAAAAAGCGGGUGGUGGAACACGUACUUAAAAUGGUCGCUCGACCAUGAAAACGUGUGCCAUAGCCUACGGGAGGCCAUAAACAGCCUUAGCAGUCUCAGUGGCCAAAUCAUGGGUGGCGGACGGGAGGUGUUGGGUCUAUGCUUCGUCGCCGAAGGUCUUAUAGAAAGAAGUGAUCCUCGGAUGAAGC